CUCUGAUCUGCAAACUGUAGCCAGAGGUACAGUACUUGACUUUAGUUGCGAGCAAAAAUACCUGGAGAUUAUCCUAAUGAUGUACCACAACAGACGCUAUCGUGGGACCAUUUACAUCCUCAGGGGUUUACCAGGCACGGGAAAAUCCGGCAUAGCAUGGAAUCUGUGGCAGGAGGAGGGUGGAGAGAUCGUCAGUUUUUUCGAUUAUUAUCGCAUAUAUCACAAUUCUCAGAUGAAUACUGCGUAUUUUGGCAGGGCACAUAAGUGGGCACGCAAGACAGGUAAGACCAUUCUAAAAACUGGUGGCAUUCAACCUGGUUUUCAUAUAGUAAAUAAGAAUGUAUCUUGUUUGUUGCUUGUCAGCCUAUAUAUAUUAGGGUCGGCUUACAUAUAUCUAUAAUGUGUGUUUAUAUGUGUGAGUUUUUGUUGUCUCAAAAUCUAUGUUGUGUGUUUUUCAUGUGUAUACUUCAUGUCUAAAUUCUUCUUCAUGUGAUGUAGUACAUGUAAUGAAAACUAAUGUACUACCAAACAGGCACCAAAGGAUGAUGUCAUACAUGCACACAUACAAAGACCAGGCCUCAAUGUAUGUAAUCUAAUAGACUCCCCCAUUGAGAUUGAUGGUGUGCAUUAUUUUCAUGGAUAAUACGCCAUAGAUGCUCUAGAAAGAGGGGUGGAUCCAGUCAUCAUCAACAACUGCAACAUGCCCCGCUGGCACAUGUAUCCAUACGUCCUAAUGGCUUCUACCCGUGACUACUGGAUUGAAUUCAUUGAAACAGAAGACACCUGGAAUGUUCCUCUUGAGGAAUUGGAGAGGAGAUGUGACGAUAUUCCACUAUCAGUACUGGAUCGCAUGAAGGAGUCAUAUGAGCCAGCACGAAAUCCGUAUGACGUCCUGCUUGACGAGUAUUCUGAAAGUCGCUGGAUCAGUAAUCGGGAAAUGACACAAUAUAACUGGUCUAACAUCCAAUAGAGAGCGGCAUUUCAAUAGUCCACUUAAUUCAUGGGGGUGAAUUAUUAUGGUAUGAAAAGGAAUGAUCAGAUAUCAUGCACCAUUCAUACAGAAAUAAAUUGUGAUAUUUUUGAGAA